GGGUUGUGAGGUUAAGCGACUAAGCGUACACGGUGGAUGCCCUGGCAGUCAGAGGCGAUGAAGGACGUGCUAAUCUGCGAUAAGCGCCGGUAAGGUGAUAUGAACCGUUAUAACCGGCGAUUUCCGAAUGGGGAAACCCAGUGUGACUCGUCACACUAUCAUUAACUGAAUCCAUAGGUUAAUGAGGCGAACCGGGGGAACUGAAACAUCUAAGUACCCCGAGGAAAAGAAAUCAACCGAGAUUCCCCCAGUAGCGGCGAGCGAACGGGGAGGAGCCCAGAGCCUGAAUCAGCAUGUGUGUUAGUGGAAGCGUCUGGAAAGGCGCGCGAUACAGGGUGACAGCCCCGUACACAAAAGCGCAUGUGCUGUGAGCUCGAUGAGUAGGGCGGGACACGUGGUAUCCUGUCUGAAUAUGGGGGGACCAUCCUCCAAGGCUAAAUACUCCUGACUGACCGAUAGUGAACCAGUACCGUGAGGGAAAGGCGAAAAGAACCCCGGCGAGGGGAGUGAAAAAGAACCUGAAACCGUGUACGUACAAGCAGUGGGAGCACAGGUUUACCUGUGUGACUGCGUACCUUUUGUAUAAUGGGUCAGCGACUUAUAUUCUGUAGCAAGGUUAACCGAAUAGGGGAGCCGGAGGGAAACCGAGUCUUAAUUGGGCGUUAAGUUGCAGGGUAUAGACCCGAAACCCGGUGAUCUAGCCAUGGGCAGGUUGAAGGUUGGGUAACACUAACUGGAGGACCGAACCGACUAAUGUUGAAAAAUUAGCGGAUGACCUGUGGCUGGGGGUGAAAGGCCAAUCAAACCGGGAGAUAGCUGGUUCUCCCCGAAAGCUAUUUAGGUAGCGCCUCGUGAACUCAUCUCCGGGGGUAGAGCACUGUUUCGGCUAGGGGGCCAUCCCGGCUUACCAACCCGAUGCAAACUGCGAAUACCGGAGAAUGUUAUCACGGGAGACACACGGCGGGUGCUAACGUCCGUCGUGAAGAGGGAAACAACCCAGACCGCCAGCUAAGGUCCCAAAGUCAUGGUUAAGUGGGAAACGAUGUGGGAAGGCCCAGACAGCCAGGAUGUUGGCUUAGAAGCAGCCAUCAUUUAAAGAAAGCGUAAUAGCUCACUGGUCGAGUCGGCCUGCGCGGAAGAUGUAACGGGGCUAAACCAUGCACCGAAGCUGCGGCAGCGACGCUGAUGCGUUGUUGGGUAGGGGAGCGUUCUGUAAGCCUGCGAAGGUGGCCUGUGAGGGUUGCUGGAGGUAUCAGAAGUGCGAAUGCUGACAUAAGUAACGAUAAAGCGGGUGAAAAGCCCGCUCGCCGGAAGACCAAGGGUUCCUGUCCAACGUUAAUCGGGGCAGGGUGAGUCGACCCCUAAGGCGAGGCCGAAAGGCGUAGUCGAUGGGAAACGGGUUAAUAUUCCCGUACUUGGUGUUACUGCGAAGGGGGGACGGAGAAGGCUAUGUUGGCCGGGCGACGGUUGUCCCGGUUUAAGCGUGUAGGUGUGUGUUCCAGGUAAAUCCGGUUCACUUUAACACUGAGGCGUGAUGACGAGGCACUACGGUGCUGAAGCAACAAAUGCCCUGCUUCCAGGAAAAGCCUCUAAGCAUCAGGUAACAUCAAAUCGUACCCCAAACCGACACAGGUGGUCAGGUAGAGAAUACCAAGGCGCUUGAGAGAACUCGGGUGAAGGAACUAGGCAAAAUGGUGCCGUAACUUCGGGAGAAGGCACGCUGACACGUAGGUGAAGUGAUUUACUCACGGAGCUGAAGUCAGUCGAAGAUACCAGCUGGCUGCAACUGUUUAUUAAAAACACAGCACUGUGCAAACACGAAAGUGGACGUAUACGGUGUGACGCCUGCCCGGUGCCGGAAGGUUAAUUGAUGGGGUCAGCGCAAGCGAAGCUCCUGAUCGAAGCCCCGGUAAACGGCGGCCGUAACUAUAACGGUCCUAAGGUAGCGAAAUUCCUUGUCGGGUAAGUUCCGACCUGCACGAAUGGCGUAAUGAUGGCCAGGCUGUCUCCACCCGAGACUCAGUGAAAUUGAACUCGCUGUGAAGAUGCAGUGUACCCGCGGCAAGACGGAAAGACCCCGUGAACCUUUACUAUAGCUUGACACUGAACAUUGAGCCUUGAUGUGUAGGAUAGGUGGGAGGCUUUGAAGUGUGGACGCCAGUCUGCAUGGAGCCGACCUUGAAAUACCACCCUUUAAUGUUUGAUGUUCUAACGUGGACCCGUGAUCCGGGUUGCGGACAGUGUCUGGUGGGUAGUUUGACUGGGGCGGUCUCCUCCUAAAGAGUAACGGAGGAGCACGAAGGUUGGCUAAUCCUGGUCGGACAUCAGGAGGUUAGUGCAAUGGCAUAAGCCAGCUUGACUGCGAGCGUGACGGCGCGAGCAGGUGCGAAAGCAGGUCAUAGUGAUCCGGUGGUUCUGAAUGGAAGGGCCAUCGCUCAACGGAUAAAAGGUACUCCGGGGAUAACAGGCUGAUACCGCCCAAGAGUUCAUAUCGACGGCGGUGUUUGGCACCUCGAUGUCGGCUCAUCACAUCCUGGGGCUGAAGUAGGUCCCAAGGGUAUGGCUGUUCGCCAUUUAAAGUGGUACGCGAGCUGGGUUUAGAACGUCGUGAGACAGUUCGGUCCCUAUCUGCCGUGGGCGCUGGAGAACUGAGGGGGGCUGCUCCUAGUACGAGAGGACCGGAGUGGACGCAUCACUGGUGUUCGGGUUGUCAUGCCAAUGGCACUGCCCGGUAGCUAAAUGCGGAAGAGAUAAGUGCUGAAAGCAUCUAAGCACGAAACUUGCCCCGAGAUGAGUUCUCCCUGAGACUUAGAGUCUCCUGAAGGAACGUUGAAGACGACGACGUUGAUAGGCCGGGUGUGUAAGCGCAGCGAUGCGUUGAGCUAACCGGUACUAAUGAACCGUGAGGCUUAACCUUACAACGCCGAAG
rnacentral:rRNA from 1 species